AGUCCAGAGCAUCCUUCAUUUCGAGCGCGUGGACGGUCCAUGUUAAGCGGUGACAGGCACUCAGUUAGUGAUUAUGCUGAUGAUGAAGUUGCAUCAAGCUGCAGGGGUGCAUCAACAUCAGAUCGUAGAAUGAGAAGAAGAAGCAUUAGCAUGACCCCAGAGAUUGGCGAUGAUAUCGUAAGGGCUGUGCGUGCAAUGAAUGAAUCUUUGAAGCAAAAUCGGCUUUUAAGGGAGCAGGGUGAUGAUAGGUCAUUUGCAAACUCUCUAGAUGACAAGGACAAUUGCCCAGAUCUCCAGAAAAAUGUAUCUAAUUUUGAUCUUGAUGGUCAUGAUGAAAUAUCUGGUAGAAAGUCUGCCUUAUAUACCCAUCAAAGGGACCACAUAAAUUCCCAAAAAGCUAUAUCGUUGCCAUCAUCUCCACAUGAGUACAGGAGUCAAACAUCAGAAAGAAGGGGACCUUCAGGUUAUGUGAAUGAUGAAUUUGUUUCAACAUGGAACAAAGUUCUUGAAUCUCCCACGUUCCACAAUCAGCCUCUAUUACCAUUCCAAGAAUGGAAUAUUGAUUUUUCAGAAUUAAAUAUUGGGACUCGUGUUGGCAUUGGGUUUUUUGGGGAAGUUUUCCGUGGCAUAUGGAAUGGAACAGAUGUUGCAAUCAAGGUUUUUCUAGAGCAAGAUCUAACUGCUGAAAACAUGGAGGACUUUUGCAACGAGAUAUCCAUUCUUAGCCGACUUCGACAUCCCAAUGUUAUCUUAUUCUUGGGUGCUUGCGUGAAGCCCCCUCACUUGUCAAUGGUUACUGAAUAUAUGGAGAUGGGGUCGUUGUACUUUUUGAUCCAUAUGAGUGGUCAGAAGAAGAAGCUUAGUUGGCGGAGGAGGCUAAAAAUGUUGCAUGAUAUAUGCAGGGGGUUGAUGUGCAUCCAUCGGAUGAAGAUAGUUCACCGUGACCUUAAAAGUGCAAACUGUCUUGUGAAUAAACAUUCGACUGUUAAGAUAUGUGAUUUUGGACUAUCCAGAAUAAUGACAGAGACACCUAUGAGAGACUCCUCAUCUGCAGGAACUCCAGAAUGGAUGGCCCCUGAACUCAUUCGCAAUGAACCGUUCACUGAAAAAUGUGAUAUUUUCAGCCU
rnacentral:misc_RNA from 1 species